UGUAGCUCACUGGUAGAGCACUCACCCCCAACAUGGGAGGCUCUGGGUUCGACUCCCAGCA
rnacentral:tRNA from 1 species